rnacentral:rRNA from 1 species
GACGAACGCUGGCGGCGUGCUUAACACAUGCAAGUCGAACGGAAAGGCCCUGCUUUUGUGGGGUGCUCGAGUGGCGAACGGGUGAGUAACACGUGAGUAACCUGCCCUUGACUUUGGGAUAACUUCAGGAAACUGGGGCUAAUAUCGGAUAGGAGCUCCUGAUGCAUGGUGGGGGUUGGAAAGAUUCGGCGGUUGGGGAUGGACUCGCGGCUUAUCAGCUUGUUGGUGGGGUAGUGGCUUACCAAGGCUUUGACGGGUAGCCGGCCUGAGAGGGUGACCGGGCACAUUGGUACUGAGGUACGGCCCAGACUCCUACGGGAGGCAGCAGUGGGGAAUAUUGCACAAUGGGCGGAAGCCUGAUGCAGCAACGCCGCGUGCGGGAUGACGGCCUUCGGGUUAUAAACCGCUUUCGCCUGUGACGAAGCGUGAGUGACGGUAAUGGGUAAAGAAGCACCGGCUAACUACGUG